rnacentral:rRNA from 1 species
UACAGAGGGGGCAAGCGUUGUUCGGAAUUACUGGGCGUAAAGGGCGCGUAGGCGGCCCGCUAAGUCGAACGUGAAAUCCCCAGGCUCAACCUGGGAACUGCGUCCGAUACUGGCAGGCUUGAAUCCGGGAGAGGGAUGUGGAAUUCCUGGUGUGGCGGUGAAAUGCGCAGAUAUCAGGAAGAACACCAAUGGCGAAAGCAGCUUUCUGGGACGGUACUGACGCUGAGACGCGAAAGCGUGGGGAGCGAACAGG